CUCGACCAUUUUAAUUUCUUCAUCUCUCUCGACUCUCUCAGCUCUUUCUCUUAGCCGAUUAUCAUUCCAUCCGAGCUUCCGUCAAUUUUAGGGUAUUUUUUCAUGAGUCUUGGUUCUGAUUUCGAUUCUUUAGAUCGCGUAUCAAUUUUAUGAGAUUCUUUCAUGGAGUAAAUUCUCUUACGCGAUUGAUAUUAGUCUUUAGUUGUCCUUUCUGCAAUCACAGGUCUAGUGUCGAAUGCGAAAGCUUAGAGUGAAGCUAUAGACAUGUAAGUACAAUCUGUUACGCCUUCUUAUUGUUCUUGUUUAUAUCACCAUGUUUACUAAACCUCUUGGUUGCUCAAAAUGAAAGUAGCUAUAGUUAUUAUAGCUAAGAAGGUUCCUGCCAUCUCUCAGCGUUCGUCAUGUUGUCGAUCUCAUCGACCGUAACCCUCUCACCCUACCACACCGUUUUAUCUUCGCUUUCUUCAAAUUUGUCUCAUCUCAGCCCGGAUUUCGUUUUACCUUGAGUCCUAAUUCGGCAUGGCUCGUUUUCUAGCUGUAUACGAAAUGUUCGCCGAAGCACAGUCACUUAUCGGGCUCGUCGUCUCUCUCGAGGGAAAAAAUCGGCUUUUUCUGUUUUCAGUACUUUGGUAGAGUUGAGAGGAACCCCUAUGUGUGAUUUCCUGGUUGAUGCUUUGAUGAUCACGUGCACGGAUCUAGGAUUCAUACCUGAUGCAAUUCAAUGUUUCAGGCUAUCUCAGAAGCACAAAUUUGUUGUUCUGAUUCGUGGCUGUGGCAAUUUGCUUGAUCGGAUGAUGAAACUGAAUCCAACUGGGACUGUUUGGGGAUUCUAUAUGGAGAUUUUGGAUGCUGGGUAUCCCUCAAAUGUGUACGUUUUCAAUAUUUUGAUGAACAAAUUUUGUAAAGAUGGCUUUGCCAAAUGAAUUGUAAUUGGAUUAAGC